rnacentral:rRNA from 1 species
UGGGGAAUAUUGGACAAUGGGGGCAACCCUGAUCCAGCCAUGCCGCGUGUGUGAAGAAGGCCUUUUGGUUGUAAAUCACUUUAAGCAGGGAGGAGAGGCUAAUGGUUAAUACCCAUUAGAUUAGACGUUACCUGCAGAAUAAGCACCGGCUAACUCUGUGCCAGCAGCCGCGGUAAUACAGAGGGUGCGAGCGUUAAUCGGAAUUACUGGGCGUAAAGCGAGUGUAGGUGGCUCAUUAAGUCACAUGUGAAAUCCCCGGGCUUAACCUGGGAACUGCAUGUGAUACUGGUGGUGCUAGAAUAUGUGAGAGGGAAGUAGAAUUCCAGGUGUAGCGGUGAAAUGCGUAGAGAUCUGGAGGAAUACCGAUGGCGAAGGCAGCUUCCUGGCAUAAUAUUGACACUGAGAUUCGAAAGCGUGGGUAGCAAACAGG